rnacentral:lncRNA from 1 species
AGAUAACAGAAUAAAAGCAGGCAGCCAGAGCCAGCAGUGGCAACCAGCUGGGGUCCCCUUCUGCCAUGUAGAGGCUUUGUUCUUUCAGUCUUUGCAAUAAAUCUUUCUGCUGCUUGCUCUUUGGGUUCACACUGCCUUUCUGAGCUGUAAGGCAGUGAAGGUCUCAUCACGAAGGUCUACAAUUUCACUCCUGAAGUCAUCGAGACCACGAACCUACAGGGAGGAACGAACAACUCCAGACAGGCCGCCUUAAGAGCUAUAAUUCUCACCACGAAGGUCUGCAGCUUCACUCCUGAGACAGUGAGACCACAAACCCACUGGGAGGAGCCAACAACUCCAGACGGGCCACCUUAAAAGCUGUAACACUCACCGCCAGGGUCCGCAGCUUCACUCCUGAGCCAGCGAGACCACGAACCAACCAGAAGGAAGAAACUCCGAACACAUCCAAACAUCAGAAGGAACAAACUCCAGACACGCCGCCUUUAAGAAUUGUAACACUUACUGCGAGGGUCCGCGGCUUCAUUCUUGAAGUCAGUAAGAUCAAGAACCCACCAAUUCCGGACACAAUAGUACGUUUUUUAAAAAGUUUAUAUACAAAGAAAUAAAAUUAUUUGUAAAAAAAUAAAAACUUAGAUAUUGAAGUUAUUGUGAAAGAUG